UUUAAAACCACCACAAUUUUAUUGGCUCUCUCAUGGUUCCAUGGGUUGUCUGGGAUCAGCGGGUGGAUCUUCUGCUGGUCUUGCUUAGAAGUCUCUCAUGCAGGUGCAUUCAGAUAAAGCUUGAGGCUGGAGUCAGCUGGAAGCUCAACUAAAAUGCUGGAUCAGUGGACCUCUCCUCCUCUCCAUGUGGCCUCCCCAUGUGGCCUCUUCAGCAGGGUGGCCAGAAAUCUUUCAUGGUGACUCAGGGCUCUCCAAAGAAAGGGCUUCUUCAUCUCUCACGUUAGUCAUCCAUGCCUGCACGAACAACUGGCUCUUUCCACAGCUUCCUCACCCAUCCCGGGGCAAAGCCAGCACGGUGCCUGGCACAGAAAGUUGCUUCAUACUUUCCUAUCGAAUAAACAGAUGAAUGCACACUUUGAACAAGC
rnacentral:lncRNA from 10 species